rnacentral:rRNA from 1 species
UACGGAGGAUGCAAGCGUUAUCCGGAAUGAUUGGGCGUAAAGCGUCCGCAGGUGGCUGUGUAAGUCUGCUGUUAAAGAGUGAGGCUCAACCUCAUAAAAGCAGUGGAAACUACACAGCUAGAGUGCGUUCGGGGCAGAGGGAAUUCCUGGUGUAGCGGUGAAAUGCGUAGAGAUCAGGAAGAACACCGGUGGCGAAGGCGGCCUGCUGGGCUGUUGCUGACGCUGAGGCGCGACAGCGUGGGGAGCAAACAGG